rnacentral:lncRNA from 1 species
UUUUCAAGAUUCUGUCUUUUGAAUUUGACUCUGAUGUGUGCAGGUGUGACUAUCCUUAAGUUUAUUCUAUUUAGAAUUUGUUGAGCUUCUUGGUUGUGUAGAUUGUUUUAAAACAAAUUUGAGAAGUGUUCAGUCACUAUUUCUUCAAAUAUUUUUUCUGUCCCUUUCCUCUCCUUCUGGGACUCCCAUUAUAUGUAUGUUGGUAUAUUUAGUGGUACCCCACAAGUCUUUAAGACUGCUCAUUUUUCUUCAUUCCUUUUUUUUUUCCUGUGUCUCAGACUGGGUGAUCUCAAUUGACUUAUCUUCAAGGUCACUUAUUACAUCUUCUGUUAGUUCAAAUCUGUUGUUGAAGCCACCUAGUGAAUGUUUCAAUUUAGUUAUUAUAAAUAACUAAUAAGCCUAAUUUAGUUUUAACUCCAGAAUUUAUAUUUCAUUCUUUUUAAUAAUUUUUCUCUUUAUUGAUAUUUUCUAUUUUUUAUACUUCAACUCUUUAUAGAUGUUUUCCUUUAAUGCUUUGAACAUAUUUAUAAAUAACUGAUUUAAUAUCUUUGUCUGAUAAAUGUAAUAUCUGGGCUGCCUCGGGAGUGGUUCCUAUUGAUUAUUUUUUUACCCUGUGUAUUGGCCAUAUUUUCCUGUUUUUCUGUGUGUCUCACAAUUUUUUUACUGAAAACUAGACAUUUCAAAUAAUAUAAGGUAGCAACUCUGCAAAUCAGAUCCCACUACCACCACUCUCACACACACACUACUAGGUUUAUUGUCUUUGUUGCUGUUUACUUAGUGGCUUUCCCAGACUAAUUCUGUAAAAUCUGUAUUCUUGGUCAUGCCCAACCACGGAAGUCUCUGUUUAGCUUGCUUCAUAGUCAAACAAUGAUUAGACAGAGAUUUCCUUAAAUUUCUUGAACCAAUAUGUCUCCUAGACUUUACCAAGGGACUUUAGUGUAUGUGUGGGCAUACCUUCAACAAUCUGGCAGGCAGUUUAAAAAUCUACUUAAACCUUCAGUUUCUGUUUGCACAGAGGCUCAAGAUCAGCUAGUGGCAGCUAGUAGUCAGAACUUUCUCAGGUCUUUCCUGGCACAUGCAAAGCCAUGCACAUGAAUAUAGCCUUCUAGGUACCCAAGAACAUGUCAGAGCUUUUCAAAAUCCCUAUGGGCAGCACAUGCUCCAGUGUUCCUUUAAUUUUUUUAGUCAGCCUUUUAUUAACCCCAAUGGAUAUUGCCACCUCAGGUGGUUGGAAUGUUAAACAACUGCCAUUGAUUGUUUUGGACAAACAUGUUGGGAAUAAGGCCAUUCAUGAAGAGCAAGGCAGGUCAAUUAAUGACAAAGCCUGAGACUGGAGCUUUUCCAGAGAACUGCUAAAUAAAUCAAAUAAUGAUAUUUCUCUGCCUUUGAAAAGGCAGAGAAGUUUGAAAAAAGUGACAGGACAAAAGAAAAACCUAUUUCGAAGAGGCAAAAGUCACAGGCAGUUAUAGUCUGGUAAGAAGCAAGGCACCCAGUCCAACAUUUCAAAGUAGGGAAAAAUCUUUAAAAUUAAAAUAAGCAGUAAGAUCUAAGGCCAGUCAGAGAACAGAAUAAAUUUGGAAAAAAAUAAAAUACUUACAGAAAAAAAAAACAAAACAAGAAAAUUAAGAAAAGUGUAAUGAAAAGAUCCAUGCAAAGUCUUAACUUUAGUUUUUAAAGUGAGGGGUGCUAGUGUGACCUUAGUCCUAGCACUGUCACUAAUAUGCUGUAUGGGUGUAACUAAACUGCCAGCCCUUAGUUUUCUAAGGAAGAAUUGGAGUUUGGAGUUUGUUUCCCAAAUUUUAAUUUUUGUCUACAACCUUCCUGAUUUUUAGCCUCCCAUAUCUAUAUAUCACUUUGUCAAUUUAAUGUUUUAAAUGCUCAUUAAAAGGAUGCCUGGGUGGCUCAGCAGCUGAGUGUCUGCCUUUGGCUCAGGUCCUGAUCCCGGGUCUGGGGAUCAAGUCCCGCAUCAGGAUCCCUGCAAGGAACCCAUUUCUCCCUCUGCCUAUGUCUCUGCUUCUCUCUGUGUGUCUUUCAUGAAUAAAUAAAUAAAAUCCUUUAAAAAAUGCUCAUUAAAAGAAACCACAAACCAUUAAAAUAGAAAUGCUCCUCCAUGUACCAACUACCUCACUUUGGUAGACAAUGGACUUGAUGUGUAAGGUUCUUUCCACUUCUGUGAUUACGUGGAUGGUUUUUCCUCUGUUCUUUCUAUUCAGGUUGGAAGAUUACCUGUUAGUAGUGUGUCUCUCAGAGGACAAGGUAAAUUCGGAGUUUAGGAUGGACCAGUUUGUGAUUAAACCGUGUUGGCAGCAGCCACUGAGUAACUAAUCCAUGGUGGUGGUAAAAAGUGGGUUGAGACACCCCAGAGCUGACAUCUGGUACAGAGCUGUUUAUGAUUUCAUAGAGUAUUUGAAAUACAUUAAUAAUUCCAUGUACUAGAGCUGAACCAAUUCUGAGAGAAC